rnacentral:lncRNA from 1 species
UAGAAAUGAGUGGUACCGUGUAAUGAUGGUGACUGGUUCGUGGCUGCCCUUGUGGUCUGAGCACCAAAUUUCUCACCAGUUGUCUUGUGUUAUGUAAGGCUGUUUUCAUUGUUUGCGACUUUGAUGAGAGUAGCCCUGGGUAGCUUACCCUCCAACAGUAAUGCAGAGGCAGCACUUGUUUCGCUGUACCGCUGUUUGAUUUUUGAUCUGUUAAGGUGUCGCAUGGGUACGGUUUCUAGACGCUGAUUUUGCUACUUGCGUUGCUGCAGUUUGGAGUAUUGAUGAUGUUUGUCAACUCGUUGGGCUUUAGAUGUCAUCUACUCGUUUCUAUUGUACUACUAUCACUGUUGCAACACAACUUUUAUUAAAGCCCAGUCUGCGUGUGUUGGUCUCAAA